rnacentral:rRNA from 1 species
GUGAGGAAUUUUCCGCAAUGGGCGAAAGCCUGACGGAGCAAUGCCGCGUGAAGGAUGAAGGCCUAUGGGUUGUAAACUUCUUUUCUCAGAAAAGAAUUAUGACGGUAUCUGAGGAAUAAGCAUCGGCUAACUCUGUGCCAGCAGCCGCGGUAAGACAGAGGAUGCAAGCGUUAUCCGGAAUGAUUGGGCGUAAAGCGUCUGUAGGUUGUUUAAACAGUAUUCUGUCAAAGAUUAGGGCUUAACCCUAGAGAGGCAGAAUAAACUUUUAAGCUAGAGUUUGGUGGAGGCAGAGGGAAUUCCCGGUGGAGCGGUGAAAUGCGGAGAUAUCAGGAGGAACACCAAAGGCGAAGGCACUCUGCUGGGCCAAUACUAACACUGAGAGACGAAAGCGAGGGGAGCAAAUGGGAUUAGAAACCCUGGUAGUCC